rnacentral:rRNA from 1 species
GACGAACGCUGGCGGCGUGCCUAACACAUGCAAGUCGAGCGAGAGACUUCGGCCUCUAGCGGCGGACGGGUGAGUAACACGUGGGUAACCUGCCUCAUAGUGGGGGAUAGCCUUCCGACAGGAAGAUUAAUACCGCAUAUACUAUCGAUACCACAUGGCACUUAGAGGAAAGGAGCAAUCCGCUAUGAGAUGGACCCGCGGCGCAUUAGCUAGUUGGUGAGGUAACGGCUCACCAAGGCGACGAUGCGUAGCCGACCUGAGAGGGUGAUCGGCCACAUUGGAACUGAGACACGGUCCAGACUCCUACGGGAGGCAGCAGUGGGGAAUAUUGCACAAUGGGCGAAAGCCUGAUGCAGCAACGCCACGUGAGUGAUGACGGCCUUCGGGUUGUAAAGCGCUGUCUUUUGGGACGAUAAUGACGGUACCAAAGGAGGAAGCCACGGCUAACUACGUGCCAGCCGCCGCCGUAAGAC